rnacentral:rRNA from 1 species
UGGGGAAUAUUGCACAAUGGGCGCAAGCCUGAUGCAGCCAUGCCGCGUGUGUGAAGAAGGCCUUCGGGUUGUAAAGCACUUUCAGCGGGGAGGAAGGCGUUAAGGUUAAUAACCUUAUCAAUUGACGUUACCGACAGAAGAAGCACCGGCUAACUCCGUGCCAGCAGCCGCGGUAAUACGGAGGGUGCAAGCGUUAAUCGGAAUUACUGGGCGUAAAGCGCACGCAGGCGGUUGAUUGAGUCAGAUGUGAAAUCCCCGGGCUUAACCCGGGAAUUGCAUCUGAUACUGGUCAGCUAGAGUCUUGUAGAGGGGGGUAGAAUUCCAUGUGUAGCGGUGAAAUGCGUAGAGAUGUGGAGGAAUACCGGUGGCGAAGGCGGCCCCCUGGACAAAGACUGACGCUCAGGUGCGAAAGCGUGGGGAACAAACAGG